UAAGGAAUUUCUUCCUUUUGUGAUGUAGGCAUGGAAUCCCAGUGAGCAUCCUGCACUCAGUGUCCAACUGUCUGAAGCCACAGUUGUUUCUGAAGACAGAGAACAAUUGCUUUUUGCUGAGGAGACAGCACUCCACAGCUGAGGAACAGCUCCAGUCUACAGCUCCCAGUGUGAGCGAUGCAGAAGACGGUUGAUUUCUGCAUUUCCAUCUGAGGUACCAGGUUCAUCUCACUAGGGAGUGCCAGACAGUGGGCGCAGGGAAUGAUGGUGCAUAUCUGUGGUUCCAGCACUUUGAGAGGCCAAAGUGAGAAGACUACUUGACAAGCCAAAGUGACAGGGGUUGAGGCCAGCCUGGGAAACAUAGUAAGACCCUGGCUCUACAAAACAGAAGAAGAAAUUAGCUGGGUACAGUGGUGCAUGCCUGUAUUUCCAGCUACUCAUGAGGCUAAGGCAGGAGGAUGGCUUAAGCUCAGGAUGUAAGGCUGCAGAGAGCUUUGAUUCUAUCUAUGCACUCUAGCACGGGCGACAGAGCAAGAACCUGUUUCAAAAAACAUUUUUUUCUUGAGUAACAAGCAACUAAUGAAUUGUGGAACACCGGACCAAAAGAGGUUUACCAUUUUAGUGGCAAAGUGUCAGAGGUAUUGAAGAAAUGCGGGAGCAAAAUAUUAAAAUUAUUUGAUUCAU